rnacentral:rRNA from 1 species
AUUGAACGCUGGCGGCAGGCUUAACACAUGCAAGUCGAACGAGUGGCGGACGGGUGAGUAAUACUUGGGAAGCUGGCUUAUGGCGGGGGAUAACGACGGGAAACUGUCGCUAAUUCCGCCUACCAUAGGAUGAGCCCAAGUGGGAUUAGGUAGUUGGUGGGGUAAUGGCCUACCAAUACGACGAUCCCGAGCGGGUCUGAGAGGAUGAGCAGCCACACCGGGACUGAGACACGGCCCGGACUCCUACGGGAGGAAGCAGUGGGGAAUAUUGCGAAAGGGGGGCAAGUUGACGCAGCCAUGCCGCGUGAAUGAAGAAGGCCUUCGGGUUGUAAAGUUCUUUCGGUGACGAGGCGUUACUCACAGAAGAAGCACCGGCUAACUCCGUGCCAGCAGCCGCGGUAAUAC